AUUGAACGCUGGCGGCAUGCCUUACACAUGCAAGUCGAGCGGUAACAGGUUAAGCUGACGCGUGGCGCACGGGUGAGUGAUGUAUCGGAACGUGCCCAGUCGCGUGGGAUAACUGCUCGAAAGAGCAGCUAAUACCGCAUACGACCCGAGGGUGAAUGCGGGGGCGCGCAAGACCUCGCUCGAUUGGAGCGGUCGUUAUCGGAUUAGGUAGUUGGUGAGGUAAAGGCUUACCAAGCCGACGAUCGGUAGCCGAUCUGAGAGGACGACCAGCCACACUGGGACUGAGACACGGCCCAGACUCCUACGGGAGGCAGCAGUGGGGAAUUUUGGGCAAUGGGCGAAAGCCUGAUCCAGCCAUGCCGCGUGCGUGAAGAAGGCCUUCGGGUUGUAAAACGCUUUUGUCAGGGAAGAAAAGGUUCUGGCUAAUACCUGGAACUCAUGACGGUACCUGAAGAGUAAGCACCGGCUAACUACGUG
rnacentral:rRNA from 1 species